GAUGAACGCUGGCGGCGUGCCUAAUACAUGCAAGUCGAGCGAACAGACGAGGAGCUUGCUCCUCUGACGUUAGCGGCGGACGGGUGAGUAACACGUGGAUAACCUACCUAUAAGACUGGGGUAACUUCGGGAAACCGGAGCUAAUACCGGAUAAUAUAUUGAACCGCAUGGUUCAAUAGUGAAAGACGGUUUUGCUGUCACUUAUAGAUGGAUCCGCGCCGCAUUAGCUAGUUGGUAAGGUAACGGCUUACCAAGGCGACGAUGCGUAGCCGACCUGAGAGGGUGAUCGGCCACACUGGAACUGAGACACGGUCCAGACUCCUACGGGAGGCAGCAGUAGGGAAUCUUCCGCAAUGGGCGAAAGCCUGACGGAGCAACGCCGCGCGAGUGAUGAAGGUCUUCGGAUCGUAAAACUCUGUUAUUAGGGAAGAACAAAUGUGUAAGUAACUAUGCACGUCUUGACGGUACCUAAUCAGAAAGCCACGGCUAACUACGUG
rnacentral:rRNA from 1 species